rnacentral:lncRNA from 1 species
AGAACUUAUGGACACCUCUUCAAAAACACUAUGUGGGAUAUGUGACGCCCAGCAUAUCACGAAAUGUGCAGAUUUCUGGUGCCCUGAGUGUGACGAUGGUCUAUGUACUGAGUGUAAGGGUCAUCACAGUUUUUCCAAAGCAAGUCGACAUCAUGGUGUUAUUUCGAUAGAGGAUUACAGAAAAUGGCCCCCUGAUAUUUCAAGCAUAGUCCACCACUGCGUAGAAAAAGCUUCAAAUGUACUGUCCCCAUCAUGAUCAGAUUUGUUGUCUUUUAUGC